rnacentral:lncRNA from 1 species
AAGUAUAAUAAUGAAAUAACAGUAUAAUAACAUGCGAGUAAAUCAAAGAUAUCUGAAUAAAAGCUCAACUUUUGAAUCAAGAAUGAAUAACAAGAAUCAAAAGAAUUCUGAGGGUCAUAAGACCUUGAACUAUGUCCUAGGUUAUCAAGGGUUAUACUUGAAACCUUUAACAAUCAUAAGACUAUGGACCUUUCUACUCGUACUUAGGGG